GCAGCCGUGGCCAAGUGGUUAAGAUGAUGGACUCGAAAUCCAUUGGGGUUUCCCCGCGUAAUUCCGAAUCUUACUGGCUGCG